rnacentral:rRNA from 1 species
GAAGGCCUUCGGGUUGUAAAGCUCUUUCAGACGGAAAGAAAUCGGUGUGUCUAAUACACGCACUGGAUGACGGUACCGUAAGAAGAAGCACCGGCUAACUACGUGCCAGCAGCCGCGGUAAUACGUAGGGUGCGAGCGUUAAUCGGAAUUACUGGGCGUAAAGCGUGCGCAGGCGGUGAUGUAAGACAGAUGUGAAAUCCCCGGGCUCAACCUGGGAACUGCGUUUGUGACUGCAUCACUCGAGUACGGCAGAGGGAGGUGGAAUUCCACGUGUAGCAGUGAAAUGCGUAGAGAUGUGGAGGAACACCGAUGGCGAAGGCAGCCUCCUGGGCCAGUACUGACGCUCAUGCACGAAAGCGUGGGGAGCAAACAGGAUUAGAUACCCUGGUAGUCCACGCCCUAAACGAUGUCAACUAGUUGUUCGGUGAGGAGACUCAUUGAGUAACGCAGCUAACGCGUGAAGUUGACCGCCUGGGGAGUACGGCCGCAAGGUUAAAACUCAAAGGAAUUGACGGGGAC